GUGUCAGCAGCCGCGGUAAGACAGAGGGUGCAAACGUUGUUCGGAAUUACUGGGCGUAAAGCGAGUGUAGGCGGUCUGUAAAGUCAGGUGUGAAAGCCCCGGGCUCAACCCGGGAAGUGCACUUGAAACUCACAGGCUAGAGUAUCGGAGAGGUUGGUGGAAUUCUCGGUGUAGAGGUGAAAUUCGUAGAUAUCGAGAGGAACACCGGUGGCGAAGGCGGCCAACUGGACGAAUACUGACGCUGAGACUCGAAAGCGUGGGGAGCAAACAGGAUUAGAUACCCUGGUAGUCCACGCCGUAAACGAUGGGUGCUAGGUGUCGCGGGCUUUGACUCCCGCGGUGCCGUAGCUAACGCAUUAAGCACCCCGCCUGGGAAGUACGGCCGCAAGGCUAAA
rnacentral:rRNA from 1 species